UCCGGCCCCGCCCGCCUUCCGAGCCGCCCGGGAAUCCCGGGCCCUUCGCUGCAGGAGGGAUUUGGGAAUCCUGGGUAGGCCUGGGCGGGCCCAGGCCUCCAGGCGGAGCGUCCCCAGUCCGGAGGGACCCACACCCUCCUUGAAUCCUUCCACCCCUCGGGGAGCCCCACGCUGGCCCCCUGCCUAUCCCCCAAUUUCCACUCAGCUAACUUUCCAAAGUCAUUACACAGCAGUAGGAAGCCCAUCUCUCCUGUGAGGAAACCGAGGCCUAGAGAAGCCACCCGAUCCCCGAAGGAAUCUGACCCCUGACCUCGCUGAGCCUAGGUUUUCUCAUAUGUAAAACACAAACAAUCACUACCAGAAUGAAUUUUGCAGCUCUUGUGUGGACCCAGGGUCCGGCGCAGAGCAGGGACUCUAAUCAGUUACACAACGACUAUUGUUUCUGCGUGUUCACGUGCUUUUAUUAUCUUAUUUGAAGUAGACAAAAGGGGAAACUGAGACUCAGAGAGGCUGAGUUACUUGCCUUAAGUCACACAGCUUGCCAGGGGUUUCCGAGCGUGGGGCCUUGCAGCCCAGGUCUCCUGAGUUCCAUGUCUUGUUCUGUUCUGGUGCUGCAAGCCCAGUCAUUUCAGCAACUACUUUAGGGAGCUGGGUUUUUAUCUUUUAUCCAGAGGGCAGCAGCAGGUCAAAAAUUUAUUGUUGUUUCCUGUCAAAAGGCCUAGCAGGGCAGAUAUUGCUAGUUAUACAGUCAAACAGGUAAGGAGUUCCCAUCGUGGCACAGUGGAAACCCGACUAGAAACCAUGAGGUUUCGGGUUCUCUCCCUGGCCUUGCUCAGUGGGUUAAGGAUCCGCUGUUACUGUGAGCUGUGUUGUAGGUCACAGACGCAGUUUGGAUCUGGCAUUGCUGUGGCUGUGGUGUAGGCCAGCAGCUAUAGCUCCAAUUAGACCUCUAGCCUGGGAACCUCCACAUGCUGCGGGUGUGGCCCUGAAAAGACAAAACAAACAAACAAACAAAACAGGUAAAAUCUCUCUGAUGGUAGCUUCUACCUUUUUUCAUUGGCUUGGGAGAGAGGGGUGGAGGAAUAGCUUUGAAUGGAACACACCCUGAAGGGGUAAGGCUCUCCUGGGUUUUUUU
rnacentral:lncRNA from 1 species